GGCCACGUGGCACCGUCCGUUGAUCUAAGAACGUAGCCUGCCCAUGUCUGUCUUGUAGUAGCUAUAUAUAUAUAUAUAUAUAUUACUUGCACCCAAGUUUUCAAAAGUGAUCCAUAGUCCAAUGGAUGGAAUGGUUAGCUCUCAACCGGAAGGUUUUACUUGGCUUUUGUCCCAGCGAGCACAUCCAUAAUUAGCGCAUGUUCCAAAUUAAUUGUAAAUACGACGUUAGCGAGCAAAGAUAUUUCUACAUAUAAAUAUUUUAUUUGUGUAUAAAGUUAUUAAUAUAAAAUUUACGUCUAAAUCCGAUUCAAUACACUGUUUUAAAAUUGCACGACAUACAAGGCUGGUAUGUGGAGAAGAAGAGCCUACAUGGAAAAAAUAAAUAGAAAAACAAGAGAAUAGGAAAAAAAGAGAAAUAACGAGAAAGGUAAAAAAUUGAAAAUUA
rnacentral:lncRNA from 1 species